UUAUACUUUAGAGAUCUCUGAUAGAUAUUUUAGCAAGUGUACUAAAACUAUCGAAGUAAUAAAAUAGGUUCGUAUCCACGAGGACUGUGUUAAUCUCAACUUAGCAAUAAAGUUAGUAUCUAGGAUGUGUAAACUUUAUAAGUGCCUGAGGCAGUAGGUUUGUGUGUAUAAAAAGUAUAUAAAGUUGUUAAAAGAUGAUUUGAGAAGGAUGAUUAAGCCGAUGAAUCCCCUAUUGUUCUAUAUGAGUAGUUACCUUCCUUAUUUACUAAUUACUAUUCCAUCUUUACGACAAAUUAACUAAGUAGUUUUGAUCAAUCUCUUGACUCAAAACCCUUUCCUAAGUUAUAACCUUUUAAUCUCUUAAACCGAUUGAAUAACCACGGAAGCGAUAAAAGAACGUUAAUUCAUGAGUCAUGAUCCUCAAUUUCCUAUCUCUAGGUUCCUAUGUUGAAUCAAACAGGAUUACUAUAUCAGGAUUAAAAGCUAGUGUUAAUAGUCAUUCAAUUCCUAAUAUCAAUUCAUGUAGUUGCACGAAGCUAGGGUUAAUAGUCAUACAAAGCAAUUAUCUGAAAAGCAAUGAACACAAGUAAUUCUGAAUAAAGACUGAAUAACAUUAAUAAUAAAGAGAGGAUCAACUACUGAUUCAUAUAUUACAAUAGAUUCAUCAUGGCUUAAUCAAGAGGGAAAUUAGCUAGACAUAGAGAUACAAAUUAAUAGCAUGGGAAAUAAAAUUAACCAUGAAACCAUGUUGUGGCUCGGGUCUCUACUGCUUCGUGAGUUUCUGUUGCCUUCUAUUCCCUCGCGUUCCCGUUCCUUUUCCUGGCGUGGCUUUGUUCCAAAACGUGAUUCCACUGUGCCGAAACGUGAAUGCCCUGUAAUGUCUGUGGCUUCCACAUAUAUAUAGCCUCUUAAAAACCAAUUUUCCUUCCAAUUUUCUUCUUCAGCGUGUUCCAUAUCUUCUUGCUGCUUUCCAAUUCUCUUAGGUCAACACACAAUUGGUCAAAGGCCCAUCAUUAUUUUCUUCUAUUAGCACUCGCCACCAACUCACGUUUUGUUGUGAGUAAUAAUAAGCAAUUCUUCCUUAUUUGACUCAAUAAAUCAACAACGAAACUUUAUUUAAAUUGACUCUAAAUUAAAUACUAAACUAAUAAAAAUAGAUUGAAAAUUUAUUUAAAAAGACUCUAAAAAUGUGAUAUGACGGACUGUCAUCACAACCCCAAACUUGAACUAUUCCUUGUCCUCAAGGAAUUUAUUUGCAACAUUGAUAGUCGACAGUAAAAUAAUAAUUACCUAAUCAAGCGAUAGUACCUAAAAGUUCAACUCCUCACUAGCUAAUGAUGAGCUAGUUUGACUUGUACGCAUCCACCAAUUCACAACUCCACGCAACAAAAUCAAUAGGGUUCACUCAUAGUCGACAUGCAAAUCUACAUAUUACCAUACGCUUGAAAAAUUUCUAAACGUCAAUAAAAAUCAAUAUCAAUGCACACUUUGAGGUCUUUAAGGGUUAUAACGGGGCUUAGGUGAAGGUGGGAUAAUAUUUGGAUAAGUAGGCUACACAAAAUUUUGAGUUAGGCAAUUCCUACGGAAGUUAAAGAAUGGAUUCAAUCACUCAUUCACCCCUUGAAAUAACAAUUUGUAAAGGUACUAGAGAUUAUUUGUAACUUGUUGGGACAAUCGAGUUUAAAGUUACUCAAAUUUUUCUUUGUUUGUCCCUUGCUUUUCAUUCUCUUUUUUUUUUUUGAUACACCAUUUUUGAUUUUGAGUGUAUAUUUUUCAUGAUUUGUUCUUUAUUCUCUAGUACCUCCACCCCAAACUUAGUUGGUUGCAAAUUCCAAUAGCAACCCCAAACUUAUUGUUUAGCAACACCCUACACAGCCUAACUCAAAUAUAAUAUUUUUGGGUCAAAUCCUAAAAGUCCCUAGGCUCAAUAUGUAGCUUGUCACCGAACAAAAAGAUCUAAGCCUACCGGCACAAAUUGGCUUUCAAAAAGGAUAAAUUCAAUCAAAAUCAGGGUAGGCUUGAAAAGGCUCACAGGACCAAGCACUUUUGCCUCAGUGUGUAUAUGAUAAAGAUCAAUCAACAGUAAAGAAACAAUGCAAGUUCUAGAAAUGUAGUUGCACGGAACACUCUAUAUAAGUAAAUUGAAAAAAAUAAAAUUUGGCUAUGAACCUUACAGUGUUAGAUUUCUGGGAGUUGCGACUACCUAUCACACAUGCCGUACACUUCGCCUUUGAAAUACAAGUCACUACCUCCUUAUGAACUUUUGGAAUACCACUUGAACAAACAAUUGUUACUAAACUGAAAAAAAAUCAACUAACAAACAAAUUCGUCAAUAAUAAACAAGUUCAGAUUCAAUUACAUAACAGGGAGUACAACUGAAUUAUCCAAAUAACAACACAACAAUUAAAAUUUCAACUGACAUCUGACGAAUACGAGUGAUUGAAAAAGAACUGAUGUGGACUUUGAUUUUUUUAUUUUUUUUUUCGUCCAUCUUUUCAUUUUUUUUUUCUUUGUUGUUGUUUUUUUUUGUUUUUUUUUUUUUUUUUUUUUCAAAUCGUGCCACGUUAGAUUACCAAUCGUGCCACGAAAUUUCCAGUGGCAAACUUGUUUGUUCGUUUGUUAGAUCGUGCCACGUUAAAGAAAUUUCGUGCCACGUUCGUAGCACACAUUGGUUUUUUUUUUUUUUUUUUUUUUAUGUAAAAUAAAAUGCAAUAAAAAAAUAAAAACAAUACCUGAGCGGAUCUAAGAUCCGAUGGGUCGCCUCCCACCAAGCGCUUUCUUUUACGUCAUUGAGCUUGACGCUUCAGCCACUGUUAGGGUGGCAAAAAUGAUAGAAGGAAUAUAUCACCCUUCUUCUUCCUCUUGUUUGGUAGGAAUUCCAUGAACUUAGCACAAAGAAUCAGAUACUCCCAUGCACUCAAUGUUGAUCUUUUGGAAUUAAAGCUCUCCCACCUUAGAGAAGGACGUGCAUAUAUUUUCACAAGAGUGAUUUCCUUAACCCCCAUUGGUUCAGAUUUCAGACAAAUAUCAACACUCCUCACUUUAGGAUUUUCUUCCACCACAACCUUGUGACAUUCUGUCUCCAUCUUAACCAACUUCCUUUGAGACUCCUGUGCCUUCUCAACAAGAUCACCACACUGAACAUCAAACUUAUCAAAUGAAACUUGGUUUGACACCAAGAAAUCAUCUAAAAUAUUUUGAAGUUGAGUAUUGUAAUCGAUGUUGAUCACCUCUUUCUUCUCUUUACAAUUACUACUUGGUUGAUCCACCUCAUAACUGUCACACCUCUCAUUUAAUAGUGAGAUUUUACUGUCCAAGCAUUUUAUCUUCACAGAUAUCAUAUAUUUUUCAUAUUGCAAUGACCAAAUCUCUUUUGUGUCAUAGAGGCGUAACCUGUCUAUCAUAGCUGCAAAACUUGGAUAAACUUUUUAGUAGCACAAUACAAUGAGAAGAAAAGAAUAGCAUAAAUCAAUUUUUUUUUUCUUUUAUAUAUAUAUACAAAAAUAUAAAUGACUGAAAUCCUAAAUAAAAACAAAAUUGCCAAGUUGAAAUGAUUUAACAGUCCCCGGCAGCGGCGCCAAAAACUUGAUAGAUAUUUUAGCAAGUGUACUAAAACUAUCGAAGUAAUAAAAUAGGUUCGUAUCCACGAGGACUGUGUUAAUCUCAACUUAGCAAUAAAGUUAGUAUCUAGGAUGUGUAAACUUUAUAAGUGCCUGAGGCAGUAGGUUUGUGUGUAUAAAAAGUAUAUAAAGUUGUUAAAAGAUGAUUUGAGAAGGAUGAUUAAGCCGAUGAAUCCCCUAUUGUUCUAUAUGAGUAGUUACCUUCCUUAUUUACUAAUUACUAUUCCAUCUUUACGACAAAUUAACUAAGUAGUUUUGAUCAAUCUCUUGACUCAAAACCCUUUCCUAAGUUAUAACCUUUUAAUCUCUUAAACCGAUUGAAUAACCACGGAAGCGAUAAAAGAACGUUAAUUCAUGAGUCAUGAUCCUCAAUUUCCUAUCUCUAGGUUCCUAUGUUGAAUCAAACAGGAUUACUAUAUCAGGAUUAAAAGCUAGUGUUAAUAGUCAUUCAAUUCCUAAUAUCAAUUCAUGUAGUUGCACGAAGCUAGGGUUAAUAGUCAUACAAAGCAAUUAUCUGAAAAGCAAUGAACACAAGUAAUUCUGAAUAAAGACUGAAUAACAUUAAUAAUAAAGAGAGGAUCAACUACUGAUUCAUAUAUUACAAUAGAUUCAUCAUGGCUUAAUCAAGAGGGAAAUUAGCUAGACAUAGAGAUACAAAUUAAUAGCAUGGGAAAUAAAAUUAACCAUGAAACCAUGUUGUGGCUCGGGUCUCUACUGCUUCGUGAGUUUCUGUUGCCUUCUAUUCCCUCGCGUUCCCGUUCCUUUUCCUGGCGUGGCUUUGUUCCAAAACGUGAUUCCACUGUGCCGAAACGUGAAUGCCCUGUAAUGUCUGUGGCUUCCACAUAUAUAUAGCCUCUUAAAAACCAAUUUUCCUUCCAAUUUUCUUCUUCAGCGUGUUCCAUAUCUUCUUGCUGCUUUCCAAUUCUCUUAGGUCAACACACAAUUGGUCAAAGGCCCAUCAUUAUUUUCUUCUAUUAGCACUCGCCACCAACUCACGUUUUGUUGUGAGUAAUAAUAAGCAAUUCUUCCUUAUUUGACUCAAUAAAUCAACAACGAAACUUUAUUUAAAUUGACUCUAAAUUAAAUACUAAACUAAUAAAAAUAGAUUGAAAAUUUAUUUAAAAAGACUCUAAAAAUGUGAUAUGACGGACUGUCAUCA
rnacentral:lncRNA from 1 species